rnacentral:rRNA from 1 species
ACGCUCGACACCUACGGGUGGCAGCAGUGGGGAAUAUUGCACAAUGGGGGAAACCCUGAUGCAGCGACGCCGCGUGAAGGAAGAAGUAUCUCGGUAUGUAAACUUCUAUCAGCAGGGAAGAAAGUGACGGUACCUGACUAAGAAGCCCCGGCUAACUACGUGUCAGCAGCCGCGGUAAUCUGAGCGGGCUGGCAAGGC